GAACUUCUGAGGUGUCCCAAAAUAGGAUGAAACGGCCGUCCAGUGC
rnacentral:hammerhead_ribozyme from 1 species